UGUGAAGUACAGAAUGAAAAACAACAGCAGAGGGAGGCAUAUGAAUAGGAACAGGAGAAAAAAUGUGGAGGUGAGACCUGAAAGCAAAUGAGAGGAAAAGAGAGAGGCUGCAUGACAGCAGGAUGACGAAGGGCAGGGCUGCACAAGUGGGAGAGAAUAUCUGCAGAUCGGCACCCAGCCUGUGAGGCUCAGCAAAACCAGCCCACUGGUAGGAUUAAUAAUAGACUGGGGAGGGCAGGCAGGGGUGGGCAGGGGCAGUUUUGAGCUUCCGGGGAUUGCAAGGAGGGGAGAUGGCUGGGUUUGGUUUUUUUUUUUCUCGUCAUCCUACUACAGGCAGAACACUCUCAACUCAGGGAAGUUUUACUUAAUUUGCGGCCAAUUUACUUAAUUUACCUUGAUUCAGGUAUUGGGUGAAAAAAAUAAAAGAGUACAUAAUUAAACACUAUAAGAAACCUUUCCUUCCCCAGGCUCCACUUUAGCCAAACAUCUCUCCUGCCCCCAUCCUAGUCCCCUGUUUCACUGUGGGUCACACCCAGUGAUCCGGGGGGAGGUGGUUGUCAGUGUGCGAUGGCUGCUCUCCCGUGCUCUCCCCUUCUCCUUUCCCUUAGGCCUCCGUGGAGCUGCAUGUCCUCAGCUGCAUCUUCCACUAUGUCCCUAACUGUAACAAGGCCUCAAACACCCUCUCCUUCUGGUAAAUUCAUGGUUUUGUAUGGUACUGCAAAAAUGGCUAGACAGGCUGUUGGUAAAAUUUUUGAUACCACUAGUCAUAUAUGUGCAAAAAAUUUAAAAAGAAAAUGUUGCUUAUAAAAAAUUUUAGACAGAAAAAUUCUGAAAUGCUACUAAUGACAUCCAAACCAAAUCCAGGUGUAAUUGCAUAUUUCCACCUCUAAAUACCCUCCUCUGUCUUCCAUCAGGUACAACUCUGGUGUCUGGUAAAAGCAGCCGUCAGCUUAUUGAUGAUGGGGUAGAGACUGCCUCUUACUAAACCUUUCUGCGACCUAAGGCUGCAUGUGGUGCAAACCAAAUUCAAGGCAAAAUACUUCCAGAUACUCUGCCCCUGUUAUGGCACUCACUUGUAAAAAAUAAUGUAAUCAAGUGGUAGCUAAAUUUAUUUUUUGUCCCCAGAAGUCUAACUCCUUUCUUUAAAAAGAAAGUUAUUUUUGCGUGACCUGCUUUCUUCUAUGUCUGCAAAUCGGGUACUACAGAAAACCACUCUGUGAGGGUGGUGACUGGCUGUGAAAAUGUCUUGCCUUCUUUAAGAGAUCUUAAUCUAAAACCCCACAGGCACAAAGAUUUUCCUUCUGUUUCUUUACUUGUGGAGACCUCAGGUGGAGGACAACCUCAGAAAUCAGUUUGCCUUAGUACUAAGAGUAUAUGGGGGUUUUUUUCUUGCUAAGUUGGUGUCCUGGUUUCAGCUGGGAUAGAGUUAAAUUUCUUUGUAGUAGCUAGUAUGGGACUGUUUUGGAUUUGUGCUGGAAACAGCAGUGAUAAUGUGGAGAUGUUUUAGUUGUCGCUAAGCAGUGCUUACACUGGUCAAGGACUUUUUCAGCUCCCCGUGCUCUGCCGGGUGCACAAGAAACUGGGAGGGGGCAGAGCCAGGACAGCUGACCCAAACUGGCCAAAGGGAUAUUCCAUACCAUGUGAUGUCAUGCUCAGUAUAUAAAGCUGGGGGAAAGAAGAAGGAAGGGGGACUUUUAGAGUAAUGGCGUUUGUCUUCCCAAAUGAAAUAUUGAAGUAGAAAGUCAAAGGAUUUGGCCCAAGUUACAGAGGAUGCCAAGAUUUAUGACUUUGUUUCUCAAACAUAGGAAAACUUUACCCUGAAAAGACUAGUCUGUGAGUGACACAUGGGGGUGUCUUCAGCAGGAGCUUCCUUCUUCAGAAAAAGACUGAGUGAGAGGGAGUGAUGAUGAGCUCAUAUCCUGACAGAUUUCACCGUCAUUGUGUUUGGCCUGGAGUCACUUGCGGUCACCCCUGUGCUUGCCUGCUUACUAUAAAUAUCAUACUGUCAGAAAAAAAGAAUUCACAGCUUCUUACUCUGUUGCCAGCAAUAGAAAGCUAUUUUCAUGCUGCUUGCUAAGUAUUUUGGACUUUGCUUGGAUUUCUACAACCAUGUCUAGA